UUUUAAAGUAGUUUAAUUAUGAAAAAGGUAUAAUAAAAAUAAUUUUGGAUAAAAAUGUUUAAGUAUAUUUGAUAGAAAAAAUUUAGGAUUUGAUAGUGAAAUGUAUUGUGGAAGAAAGUGAAAUAGGUGAAAUAUAAUUUAUUAAAAAGUAGAUUGCUAUUGUACCUUGUGUAUCAGGGUUGAUUAAAAUUGAGUUUUUUAAAAAAGUGAUCUCGAAGUUAAAGAGAGCUACGUUGUUAAAAUUAAAAAUGUUGAAUAAUUUUAUUUAAUAGUAUCGUGGUAAUGAAAUGUUAUUCGUUUUUAAAGAUAUCUAGUUACUUAAGAAAUGAAUUGAAUUCAGAUAUUAGAAAAUAGUUUAUUUUUGAAGGAUAAAUUAUGAGGUUAAUAUUAAUAGUUUAAGGGAUUAGCUUUAAAUUAUUGUUAAUAAUGGGAAUUAUAAGGAAUAGAAUAAAGCUUUAGAUUAGCUGUAUUUUUGUGUGUGUUAUAAUUUAUUUAAGUUUAUAGUUUAUUUAGGUAAAUUUUAAUUUUUUAUUAAGUUAAUUUUAAUAAUAAUGUUAAAAUGUAAUUAUGAUUAAAUUAGUAUAAAUGUUAAAUAGUAGAUUGAAGUAUAAAAAUUAAUGAAAAUUUAUGAUAAGGAAUUCGGCAAAUUUAGUACUCGCCUGUUUAACAAAAACAUGUCUUUUUGAUUAUAUUUAAAGUCUGAUCUGCCCACUGAAUAAUUUUGAAGGGCCGCAGUAUUUUGACUGUGCAAAGGUAGCAUAAUCAUUAGUCUUUUAAUUGAAGGCUAGAAUGAAUGGUUGGACGAGGUAUUAACUGUCUCAUUAUAAAAAUUAGAAUUUAAAUUUUUAGUUAAAAUGCUAAAAUAUAUAUGAAGGACGAGAAGACCCUAUAAAGUUUAAUAUUUUUAUUUUAAGAAUAUAUUUAGUAGUUUUUGAUUUUUAAAUUUAAUUUAUUUGGUUGGGGUGAUUUGAAGAAUAAUUAAACUCUUUAUAGUGUAUAACUAAGAUGUUAGGUUAAUAGAUCCAUUUAUAAUGAUUAUAAGAUUAAAUUACUUUAGGGAUAACAGCGUAAUUUUCUUUGAGAGUUCUUAUCGACAGGAAAGAUUGCGACCUCGAUGUUGAAUUAAGAAUAUUUGUGGGUGUAGAAGUUCAUAAAAUAAGUCUGUUCGACUUUUAAAUUCUUACAUGAUUUGAGUUCAGACCGGUGUGAGCCAGGUCGGUUUCUAUCCUUAUGCAGUGAAAAUGUUUUAGUACGAAAGGACCAAAUGUUUAGUAGAUUAUUUAUUAGGGAAUAUUAUUAAUA
rnacentral:rRNA from 1 species